UGGGGAUAAUACUGGAUAGGCAAUUAUUCCUGUAAUGGUUUUUUGUUUAAAUGUUUUUUCGCCUAAGGAUGAGUCUGCGGCCGAUUAGGUAGUUGGUUAGGUAAUGGCUUACCAAGCCGUUGAUCGGUACGGGUUGUGAGAGCAAGAGCCCGGAGAUGGAACCUGAGACAAGGUUCCAGGCCCUACGGGGUGCAGCAGGCGCGAAACCUCCGCAAUGUGAGAAAUCGCGACGGG
rnacentral:rRNA from 1 species